ensembl:lncRNA
UUUAAAAAUUUUAAACUUCCACUGUAGGCCAUUAGAGAAAGAAAAUGGAAUUAAUUUCAAAAUAAGCAGAAAAACAUACAUGCAUCAGAUGAGAAAUCAUUAAAACCUAAAACAGAAAAUCAAUAGGGAAAAUAAAUGAACCAGAAGCUUCUAUUUGAAAAGAUUAAAAAAUUUGGUAAACAUCUAGCAACACUAAAUGAGAAAAAAUAAGAUUUGAUAACCUAGAUGAAAUGGGUGACUUCUCUGAAAGACAAAUCUACCAAAACUGACACAGACAGUCCGAAAGGCCUGUAUCUUUUAAAGAAAUUGGGUUAGUAACUAAUCACUUUCCAGAACAGAAAGCACUAAGCCCAGAUGGAUUCUGUGGUGAAUUCUAUAACAUUUGAGGCAGAAAAUUAUCCUGUUACUCUGCAGUGUCUUCCAGAAGAUGGGGCAGAAGGAAGACUUCCCAACUCCUUUUGUGGGUCCAGCAGUGCCCUGACAUGAAGCCAGAACCUUCCAAGGAAGGAAGACCAAUAUGGAUUGUGCACGCAGACAGGGAAAUCCUCAAAGCAGUGGGCAGCUCCACCCCAGCAGCAUAGAGAAAGAAUCACACACCAGGACCCAGAACUGCUUUGAAGGCAACUGUGGAGAUGGUUGCACAACUCUGAACGUUUACAAGCCCUGUGCCCUUUCCAUGAGUGAGCUGUCAGCCAGCUUGUUCUUUCUUAAUGGCACUGUCAGAAGUUCGUGACUUGUGACAUGGUGCACAGCCAUGAGGGUGACUCGGCUGUCCAAACAGGACCUUCUCAGGGACAGGUGAGUAGUGCUGCCUUUCUUUGUUGUCCUCCCUGCCUGGAGCUCUGCAGCUGCUUCUGGUGGAUUAGUGGAGGUGGCCAGGGCCCCCAGCUUGCUUCCCCCUGCCCUUGGCCAGUCUCAAGGUAGGGAAAUAAGGCCCCUCUUCCCUGAGAUGCAUUUGGAGAACACAGGUCACAUCUGCGCCUCUUGUAUGGCCAGGUAGACAUGUGCCUCUCAGUGGGUAGCAGGGAGGGGAUUCAGUGUGCAGGGGCAGGCAGCUGGUUUGCAGAGGGCAGUGGCAGCUGGGUCGGGCCCCAGGCGUCCGGUGCCUGGGAUGGGAUGUGUUCUGAGACAGCCAAGGGUCUGGCCCCAGGGAACUGCUGCUCCACACUGCAGUCAGCUCUGGGGACCCAGUUUGAAUCCAUGCCCUCUGAGGACAACUUCAUUUUUAGUUCUGACAAUUUUAAUUCUGUCAAUCUGAAACACGGUAUACCAGCACAUUUCCUCUUUUAUGUGGAAUGUUUACUAAGAACAUCUGUUGAGUCUUAAUGAUGAGGUGAGGGUUGUCUGUGGCAGAGGGAGGAGCAGGUUCUCAUAUUACCUUGGUCAGGAUGCAGCCUGGACACUUUGAGAGAUGUUAAAAAGUCAGGGGUUUUUUUCUUUCCUAGAGUUAAAAAGACCGCCUUUGCAAACAGCUAAACUUUUGAUAUACACAGCCAAAUCAGAUUUAUUUAUGCAUCUUAAGAUAAAAACACUGAUCCCAGUGCUAACAGCAAAAAUGUGUAAGACCCCACACCCCCAGGUAAUGAGCUUCCUGUUUGCUCAAUUGCUGGGCUGUCAGUUUCCUUAUGGAGCAGAUCAGUGAGGGACCUGUCUCAGGGCUGGGGCACAGGCCAGUCUUCCCCUUCCUUGGGCAUUGAGGGGGCUGAGAAUGCACCGUCAUAACCUAGGUCUGGUUGUUAGGGAGGAUUUCAAAUUGGAGAGUGAUGGCUGCUCUCGAAUCCAAAUGAAUUCAACAUUAUUAAAAUCCUUCAAAAGCAGGCACAAUGACUAUAAUGACAACUAGAAUCUCUUCUAAUGGGAUUAUAAUGGUAAAAUAUGAAAAACAUUAAGCAAAUGGAGAUUACAGCACUAAAUGUGCUGAUAUCUAAAAAAUUGGGGUCCCCGUGAGCAUCACCCCAAAGGAUAGGAUCUCCACAUUGGAACCAGAAGAGGCAUCUACCUAAUGGGUUAACCAGGUGGAUUCAGUGAUGUCCUCCCCACAUCUGACUUGUGAGUGGAGGAAGGAAGUUGUGGUCUUGCAAUGGUCUUGUGGAACUGGAAGGAGCAUGCUUCUGAUUCCGCUGUGUGGGUAGCCUCUAUUGCCCCUCAGGACAGUGACAUUUCUCAUUGUCAGAUAACAUGCAGUCCUGCUGGAAGUGAAGCAGAUCAGGAAAGACUUGGGGUCUGCAAGCUGGGUCUGAGCUGUCUGCUGCUGUGGACCCACCGCUUCAUGCCUGGCUGGGGUCCCUGCUUUGAGAGGUGCUUUAAGGAAGGUUGACGAUAUUUUGAGAUGGGAUGCUUUGGCCCCUGGCCCGCCCAAGCAGCGGGUAGACCGAGUGUCUGAGAACCUGAGUCUCUGGGAGAUCUGCAGGUUCCUGUGGUUGCUGUUAUCCCCACUCCCCACAGAGGCCUGGAGAGGAGGGGAUAAGCCACAGCUUGAGGGAAAGACACAGGAUGGGCCAUGCCUCGCUCUCUGUCUGUGGGAGGUUGGAGCUGCCUGGAUGGGUUUGGUCUCAACGGGGAACACAGCAGCCCCUGUGUGGAGCAGCAGAGUCAGCUGGGGCUGGGCCUCCCAGAGAGAAGAGGUCCUCAGGGUCCUAUGGUCAGAAAACCUGGGAGUGGGCUUGGGCUAGAGGUCUGAUCCGGAACCGACUGAAGAGGGGCCAAUGGCCACAUCCAGCACAGAGGAAGAGCAGGGGCAGCCUGGCAUGUCACUUUGGGGAAUUUGUACAUUUUUUUAAUGACUCGAGGAAACAGGUGUUUUGGAGUGUUUGUGGCAGCAAGGUCCAGACAGCAGAAUAUCAAGUGAGUUAGUAUAGAUGCUUUCAGAACACACAGUCUAUUAUAGAACUGUAUCGCAUCCAAGUGUACCCAAGUAUGAAUUUGGGAACAGUUCUUUAGUGACUUGGGAGAAAAGAUAUAAAAUAUCUGAGAAUCACUUUCAUUAUUUUUAAAGAUAUUUUCUUGCAGUUAAUUGACACAUGGGCCUAAAGUCAUGAUCCCAGUGACUUGUGAUAUGCCAUAUGCAGUGACGUGAGAACCAGCAAAUGAGGAUGGCUUCACCUAGGUCUGUUAUGUCUUCCUGGUACCGAAGCCCUUGAGCAUCUGUGUCUGUCACAGCCAGACACCAACGUGAUACUGUGAGUGCUACACUAGACCGUUCCUUAGGGAGAUAACCAGAGGACCCCAGGUUCCUGCAGAGCUGGUAAACUUAAGUGAACAAUCCUAUUGUUUGCUGCACAUGGCAAUUGGAUUCUUUUCUAGGGAAGAAAUAGAAAGAUGGACCCACCCAAGAGCUUGACAGUUAGAUCGAGCUUGUAAGAUUGAGAAAGUUAAAGAAGAAAAUAAGGUUUGGGUGGAUAAUUAAAGGUACCUACGGAGAAAGUCAUGUCAGAAAAACUGAUGGCAGCUAAUAAUCCCAGAAUUCUUUUAAAUAGUCAUUCUAUUGUCUUAACACAGAUUCAGGUAAUCUACCACCAGGUGUUCCAGGGACAGAAGGAAGCAAAGCCUGAUCAUGGAGACCUCACCCUCACUUUGCCUCCCUUGGUAGAGAUAAGAAACUUAAUGUCUUAGAGCACCAGGAAAUAAAUCCUGAAGGGAAGUGGAUAUGUUGACAUUAUUUUAUUAACAAUGUUUGGUAACAACAUUUGCCACAUUGUAAAUUAUGCCUUGAGUCUGUCAGGAGUGUCAUUUUCCCUCUUGUCAUGCCACUGGAUACUCUUCAGGGAGAAGGUCCAAGGAACUGAAGAUGUCUUGUGCUCAGACAAGUGCACCUGUCAAGGACAUUUGGAAAAAUAAGCACAGGAAACCCUAAAUGGUUCCAAAUACAGGAUUUCUACCUGUGACAAUUAUGUUGUGAGCUAGACAUUCUCAUUAGCCAAUUUGCAGAAUUUCUUUUACCCAUUAUUCAAAUAUAAAGGAAGCACUUUCAAGAGAUUUAAGAAUUCAGUGAAAGUUAUCAAAGAUAAAAUAAAUAGAGCUUAUAUAAUGUUUAUAAGUCUAUUUGUUGCAUGAUAAAAAACACUUGUGCCUAUAAAUUAAUGCUUACAGGAAUUGACUUUUAUGAAGUCUGCAGGGCAUAUAAGGGGUUUCUAAAGUUCAGGCAUGUGGGUGUUAGCCUCACCACCUGCCUGCAUGCCUAGAAAAUGAGUGUGAUGAUGGUUAGAUGAAGAACAGUGAGACAUUUUGGAGCUCACCCUGUGUAUUAAUCACAUUCCCAUUGCUGGGACAGUAUACCUGAUACUUAACAGUUUAAAGGAGGAGAGGUUUAUUUUGGCUCAUAGUUUCAGUGGAUUCAGUCUAUGGUCAGCUGGACUCCAAGAGAGAAAUGACACGGUAGAAGGGGCUGGCAGAGGAAAGUUGUUUGUUGAAUGGCACCCAGGAAUCAAAGAAAGAAGAGAGAGGCCAAGGAUGAGCAUAUACUCUUCCAUGCCAUGCCCCCAGUGACUCACUGCUUUUGCCCACUCCUCUGAAAGUGAGACUUUUAGAGGACAUUUUGGAACUAAACCAUAAUAUUUCAUCCAUGGUAUUAAAAAGACUCAGGUCCAUGUUAUAUGCAAAAUGCAUUUAGUUCAUCUCCAAGAGUUGCCCAAGUCUUAACAGUUUCAGCAUUGCUAAAAAGUCGUGUCUGAGGUAUCCUCUGAGACUCAAGGCAAACUCUUAGCCACGAGUCCCUGUAAAAACAAAAAAGAAAGCUAAAUACUUUGAACAUACAAUGACACAUGCUAAACAUUCCCUUGCCAAGAGGGAGGGAUAGGGAAAUAGAAGUCACCCCAAAGCAAGACCAAAAACUAGCAGGGUAACUAUUAAAUCCUGUUCGACACAGCACCUGUGUAGAACACAUAUGUUGCAAAAGUGAAGUUGGUGAUGAUACGUGAGCUCAAAGAGCUUGGGCAGUCCCACUCCUAUCAUCUCACUGGUUGCAGUGCAUGCAUGACCUCUCUUGGGCUGGCUGUGCUCAUUGCCUGCAGCUUUUCUUAGCAGACAAUCUGCUUUUCUGGCAUCUGGCAUCUCCAACUUACUGAGCUCUCCACUGCAUCUUUAGCUUUAAUCUCGCAGCUUCACAUGCUACCCUUUCAGAGACUCUUUGCAGGGGCUGUGGUCCUGUCACACAUUUUGGCCUGCUUCUCCCAGGCCUCCUUCUGUAAUCUGGGUGGAACCUUCAUGACUCCAUAACUCUUGAAUUCUGAAUACCUGAAAUACCAUCACCACAUGGAAGACACCAAGGUCAGCCACCAGUUAUUGUGCAGUUAUUUGGCCUCUUGUAUCAACAGCCGUGCUCUCCUUUACCACAACUUUGUAGGCAAUUCCCUUUUGAUGAAAAUGCAAACUUUUCAAAUUAUUCAGCUCUGCUAUUUGCUCCUGAUUCUCAUUGUAGAUCUGAAAGCAGCCAACAGUACUCAUGCCAACAGCUUCAACAUUUGGCUACCUUGAAAUAUCCCCCACAAGAUUAAUUAGUUCACCACCUUUAAUCUCAGUAUCUUGCAAAGUCUCAGCCAAAAUACAGACAAAUUUUCUGCUGAGAAUAACACAAAUGGCAUUGCAUCCAAACCUCCAGAGCCUGCCCUUUAACGUCUGUAUUCCUCUGAGCACUCUGGUUUUCUGGCCAGAAUUGCAUAUCUAAUACUGUUCACAACAUUCCAGGGUCUCUCUAGCUAGCAUUUCCAAACCUUUAGAAAUUCCUUCUUCAAGUCAGUUUCAAGCACUUCUGAACCACAUGGUUAGAUAAAGUCACAGUGGUGACUCCAUCUUUGGUGCCAAUUUUCUGUAUUAGUCACUUCCUAUCACUGGGACAUAAUAUCAGACACCUGAAACUUAAAGGAAGAGUUUAUUUUUGCCAACAGUUUCAGAAUGUUCAGUUCAUGGUCAACUUGCUCCAGUGCAGAAAUAGCAGUGAAAGGGCCUGGUAGACAAAGCGGCUCACACCAUUGUGGCCAGGAAGUAGAGAGAAGGGAAGAGCUGGGUACAAGAGUGCACCCUUAAGGUCACACCUCCAGGGACCUGCUUUUUCUGGCCAGGCUCCACCUCUGAACAUGAGACUUUGGAGGACAGCUUAGAUCUAAACUAUAACAGCCUCUAACUGUUCUGUAAUUGCAAACCUCUCCCUUCUAGUUUUGUUGUCUCUGACAUACCGUCUGUUGUAACAUUUGGGCUUCACCUAUGAUCACUGACCUUUGGCCUACCCAUCAGCAG